GAUGAACGCUGGCGGCGUGCUUAACACAUGCAAGUCGAACGAACCUUCGGGUUAGUGGCGGACGGGUGAGUAACGCGUGAGAAUCUGCCCUCAGGAGGGGGAUAACGGCUGGAAACGGCCGCUAAUACCCCAUAUGCCGCGAGGUGAAAUGAAUUUCGCCUGAGGAUGAGCUCGCGUCUGAUUAGCUAGUUGGUGGGGUAAGAGCCUACCAAGGCAUCGAUCAGUAGCUGGUCUGAGAGGAUGAUCAGCCACACUGGGACUGAGACACGGCCCAGACUCCUACGGGAGGCAGCAGUGGGGAAUUUUCCGCAAUGGGCGAAAGCCUGACGGAGCAACGCCGCGUGAGGGAUGAAGGCCUCUGGGCUGUAAACCUCUUUUAUCAAGGAAGAAGAUCU
rnacentral:rRNA from 1 species